ensembl:lncRNA
UCCCACCACUGGCCAACAUCAAUGUGCACAGAAUUCAGUCUUUUCUUCUCUAAGAACCUCCACCUCUCCUAGGAACCCCUUUACACAGCCUCUCUGUGAAGUUUCUCAUCACCCAGAACUCCUGCUCCUGCAAAAAGCAAACUCUCAUGCUCUUGACUGAGUCAUUUCCUGCCCUUCUGCUGUGCUUUGUCUCUCCCUGCUUCCUCAGAACCCAAGGCCCUCGGUUCCUCUUUCUAGUCUGCUCCCUGCUCCUGAUUCCCAGCCCUUUUCACCACCUCGGGCCCCCACUGAUGCCCCCAUGCUCUCAUCAGCAUCCUUGCUCUCCUAGCAGCCUCUGGGCCCAAACUUGCAUGAAAGCUGCAUCUUCCAACCACGGAGCCACAGUGUCGGAGAAAACCAGAAAAUACAAAGACAGCUUUGCCUAUUCACUUUCAGUUAAGUCACUUGGCCAAGUACCACUUGGAAACAGCUGAGCCGGGAUGCAGGCAUGAGUCCACCCAGCUGCAAAGCCCGUCCGCUCCCCACCACAUCACCCUGAACAAGGAGAGGGCUCACAGCCCCGGACGGGAGAGGAAAUGAGAGCCAGCUCCUGUCGACUCCAUCAGCGGCUUCCCUCCUUUUCAACCGAGAGCCACCCCCAGAGUCUGGGUCAUACAACUUCAAAAUAAAAAUAAAUUGCUUGGAUGACCUCCAAAGAGCCAAGUGGGAAGCCCCAUGACCUGAGUGCCCCAGAGAAGCCAUUCUGAGGAGGAUAAUCACAGCCAGGAAUCUCCCUCAGAAGAUGACUACAGACGGAACAGCCAGCAUCCAUACACUCAGUUCAUCUGGAAAUGCUGAGCCAUCCAAGUGUGGCCAGAGUCGCAGGACGUGUGUAGCAAGGACCACGACAGGAUAAAUUACAAGCUAAUCCUCCCCGAGGUCUCAGAUCUGGAUGUUCAAUUGUGGACUUUUCCUCUCAUCAUUUUCUGCCAGCAAGCUGGUCACCGUCACCUCCUAAAAUGCUUUUGUUAGAGUGUGGUCUCUUUUUCUCACACCAAGGGGGCUUUCCGAGUGGUGCUAGCAGUAAAGAACCCGCCAAUGCAGGAGACGCAGGAGACGUGGGUUCGAUCCCUAGAUCAGGAAGAUCCCCUGGAGGAGGGCAUGGCACCCCACUCCCAUAUUCUUGACUCAGAAACCUCAUGGUUGGAGGAGCCUGGUGGGCUACAGUCCAGAG